AGUAAAGUUAAAAUUAAGAUAUUUGGCGGCUAUUAAAUAUUAAAGGGAUUUGCUGAUAAUCGAUUUACCUCGUUUAAUUAUACUUUUUUUCUUUUUGUAUACCGUCAUUUAGAUAAUUUUAAUAGAAUAAAUUAUGGUUUAAUUUUUAUAAUUUUAGAUCAAGGUGCAGAUAUAAAGAAGGUAAAGUUAAUGACAAUAAUUUAUUAUUAAGCAAAUUAAGUAUAAUAUACUAUUAGGGAGUUGGAUUUAAUUGUAAUAGAAAUAGUUUGAAAUAGUUUUUAUAGUGUACACA
rnacentral:rRNA from 1 species